UACGGAGGGGGCUAGCGUUGUUCGGAAUUACUGGGCGUAAAGCGCACGUAGGCGGACUUUUAAGUCGGGGGUGAAAUCCCAGGGCUCAACCCUGGAACUGCCUUCGAUACUGGAGGUCUGGAGGUCGAGAGAGGCGAGUGGAAUGCCGAGUGUAGAGGUGAAAUUCGUAGAUAUUCGGCGGAACACCAGUUGCGAAGGCGGCUCGCUAGCUCGAUACUGACGCUGAGGUGCGAAAGCGUGGGGAGCAAACAGG
rnacentral:rRNA from 1 species